rnacentral:tRNA from 1 species
CGGUCCCCCUCCCAUUAGAAUAGGGAGGGGUCCCUCACUCCUUCUUAAUUAAAAAUAAAAAGGGAUGCGGUUCCCACGGGGUCCC